AACGCUGGCGGCGCGCUUAACACAUGCAAGUCGAGCGCGAAAGGGGAGCAAUCCCUGAGUACAGCGGCGUACGGGUGAGUAACACGUGGGUAAUCUGCCUUUUAGUGGGGAAUAACCCUGGGAAACCGGGGCUAAUACCGCAUAAUCCUGUGAAGGGAAAGCAGCAAUGAGCUGAAAGAGGAGCCCGCGGCCGAUUAGCUAGUUGGUGAGGUAACGGCUCACCAAGGCGGUGAUCGGUAGCCGGCCUGAGAGGGCACACGGCCACACUGGCACUGAAACACGGGCCAGACUCCUACGGGAGGCAGCAGUGGGGAAUCUUGCACAAUGGAGGCAACUCUGAUGCAGCGACGCCGCGUGAGCGAUGAAGCCCCUCGGGGUGUAAAGCUCUUUCGGCAGGGACGAUAAUGACGGUACCUGAAGAAGAAGCUGCG
rnacentral:rRNA from 1 species